AACGCACAUUGCACCCGGUGGUAUUCCGCCGGGUAUGCCUGUCUGAGCGUCAUUUCUACCCUCAAGCCCCGCUUGGUGUUGGCGGAUCGCCCGCUGCGGCGACCGCUAAAAUUCAACGGCGGUAGCGCCCGUGUCCCCUGUAUAGUACAUUUCUUGCAGCGGUCUGCGGGGGCCCACCAGCCUCGUACCCCACCAAAACGAAAGUUGACCUCAGAUCAGGUAGGAAUACCCGCUGAACUUAA
rnacentral:misc_RNA from 1 species